AUAUUGCGCAAUGGGGGGAACCCUGACGCAGCAACGCCGCGUGAGUGAAGAAGGCCUUCGGGUCGUAAAACUCUGUCAUUGGGGAAGAAGGACGUGACGGUACACGAGGAGGAAGCCCCGGUUAACUACGUGCUAGAAGCAGCGGUAAUACGUAGGGGGCGAGCGUUGUCCGGAAUUACUGGGCGUAAAGGGUGCGUAGGCGGCCGAUUAAGUCAGCUGUGACAUACCACGGCUCAACUGUGGGGGUGCAUAUGAAACUGGUUGGCUUGAGUGCAGGAGAGGAAAGUGGAAUUCCUAGUGUAGCGGUGAAAUGCGUAGAGAUUAGGAGGAACACCAGUGGCGAAGGCGACUUUCUGGACUGUAACUGACGCUGAGGCACGAAAGCGUGGGGAGCAAAC
rnacentral:rRNA from 1 species